CCCUUAGUUAUCCUAGGUCGCACGCGCCAUACAAUGUGGCGCACAACGAGUCUCCUUGGCCGACAGGAUGUCCCGCGAGCGAUCGGCGACGCAGCCCGCUCGGUCUUCGGGCAGACUCGGUGAGAGUGGCCCGUCCUCCUGAGAGGGCGAUCGUCGAUGCCUCGGGAUUCUGGGCAAUCUGGCAGAGCGCUACGUGACUGGGCUAGACUUUUGUAAUUUUUGGUCUUGAACGAGGAAUGCCUAGUAAUCGCAGGUCAGCAUCCUGCGAUGAUUCGGUCCCUGCCCUUUGUACACACCGCCCGUCGCUCCAUCCGUGGCAUGCGCCGGUGAAGAGGGGGAGGCAGCGUCGGCCGUGUAACAGCGGAUCGUACGUGGAACCCCUCUGAACCUUCGCACGUAGAGGAAGGAGAAGUCGUAACA
rnacentral:rRNA from 1 species